GACCGAAAGGGAAUCGGGUUAAUAUUCCCGAACCCGGACACGGAGAUCGACCUUCGGGUCAAGUGCGGUAACCAACCCGAACUCGGAAACGUCGACGGGAGUCCCGGGAAGAGUUGUCUUUUCUUUGUAAGGGAUCGGCUCCCUGGAAUCGGCUCGCCCGGAGAUAGGGAUGCUGUACCCGUAAAGCACCGCGGCUCUUGCGGUGUCCGGAGCGCUCCCGUCGGCCCUUGAAAAUCCGAGGGAGAGAGUGUGAUUUUCGUGCCGGACCGUACCCAUAUCCGCAGCAGGUCUCC
rnacentral:rRNA from 1 species